UACAGAGGGUGCAAGCGUUAAUCGGAAUUACUGGGCGUAAAGCGUGCGUAGACGGUUAUGUAAGUCAGAUGUGAAAGCCCCGGGCUCAACCCGGGAACUGCGUCCGAUACUGGAAGGCUUGAAUCCGGGAGAGGGAUGUGGAAUUCCAGGUGUAGCGGUGAAAUGCGUAGAUAUCUGGAGGAACACCGGUGGCGAAGGCGACAUCCUGGACCGGUAUUGACGCUGAGGCGCGAAAGCCAGGGAGCAAACGGG
rnacentral:rRNA from 1 species